AUCGCAGGGAGGGAAAUUAGCAGAGCAUCUCUGAGGGAGCUGAAGAGCCAUGGAGCGGUCAAUGCCAGAGAGUGGAGGUCCAUUGGCAAGGAGGCAAAGACAAGGACGACCAAGUGUGACAACGGCAGAGCAACAUAUCUCGGUCGGUGGGAUCGGGCUAAAAGGAGCAACUGCUGCUCUACAUGGUAUGAGCUGUACCAGCGCGGAGAAAAAUGUCCUGCUGCAUCCUCCCACUUCCUCCUCGGGCAACAUUGGUGGUGGAGGUGGUUGUUGCAGGCCCUCUUGCUGCGCUGCAACAAUGGUAAGAACGGUUAUGGUCAUGAGCAGCGUCAUUGCCAACCCAACUCUCAUAGCUUUCAUCAUCAUGUAAACAGCGAUGGUAAUGAGAUGACGCAACAACGAGAUGCUGCUGGUUUAUAUACCAUACCAUAUAAUGAAAGGG